rnacentral:rRNA from 1 species
UACGGAGGGUGCGAGCGUUGUCCGGAAUCACUGGGCGUAAAGGGCGCGUAGGCGGCCUGAUAAGUAGGGGGUGAAAUCCUGCGGCUUAACCGCAGGGCUGCCUUCUAAACUGUCAGGCUAGAGCACAGUAGAGGCAGGUGGAAUUCCCGGUGUAGCGGUGGAAUGCGUAGAGAUCGGGAGGAACAUCGAUGGCGAAAGCAACCGUCUGGGCCUGAACUGACACUGUGACACGAAAGCGUGGGGAGCAAACAGG